rnacentral:rRNA from 1 species
UGGGGAAUUUUGGACAAUGGGGGCAACCCUGAUCCAGCAACGCCGCGUGAAGGAUGAAGGUCUUCGGAUUGUAAACUUCUUUUGCAGGGGAAGAAUUAUUCUGUGAAUAACGGAAAAUGACGGUACCCUGCGAAUAAGCCACGGCUAACUUCGUGCCAGCAGCCGCGGUAAUACGAAGGUGGCAAGCGUUACUCGGAAUUACUAGGCGUAAAGGGUAGGUAGGCGGUUCGGUAAGUCCGUAAUGAAAUCUCCCGGCUUAACUGGGAGGGGUUUAUAGAUACUGCAGAACUUGAGUGUGGGAGAGGUAACUGGAAUUCCAGGUGUAGCGGUGAAAUGCGUAGAUAUCUGGAGGAACACCAAUGGCGAAAGCAGGUUACUGGCCCAAUACUGACGCUGAGCUACGAAAGCUAGGGGAGCAAACAGG